CUUCCCUUCCCCUCCCUUCUCCUCCCUUCCCCUCCCCCCCCCAGGGGGCAGCUCCCCUCCACCCUCAGCUUAACAUGACCAGGAUCCUCCUGCUAGCCCCAGACCUGCAGGAAGACAACCUCUACAGAGUCCCAAGUGAUGGCAGGCCUCCACAGGCCUGCUCCAUAGUCCCACUGCUGCCUGCACUGUUCACAGGCUCGGGCUGAUCCUUGCUGCAAGAGAAGAGAAUAACAGGAAACAAAAAGCAAGUAUCAAUCUUGUUUUUAAGGAGCCUUUGUGUGGUUUCCUACUCCCAGUAGAGACAGGGUUGGACUAAAGGGCACUGCUGCAUCUCAGUCACCUUCACCACUAGGAGUAGGAGUGGCUGAAAGCACCCACAAACCCACUCAUCCUCCCUCCAAAGGGAGGCAGGCAGGUAGGACCACUGCUGCAGAAGCAGCGUGUAGACUUCAAUAAAAGCAAAGGGAGCCCAGCAGUGGCCCUGCAUUCAGUCCAAAGUAGGCAGGAUGUGAGCACAUAAGCAGCCACUUUCACUAGCUGAGAAAAAGAAAAAAUCAACAGGAAAAGCAUGUUACGGCAAACCCAUGCAGGCCUCAGAAAAGCAAGCUAAGAGCCUAGCAGCUUCUUGCCAGAGCUCCAGGAGUUCCCAGCAGAAGCUAAGAGGCUUUGGGCAGGCCCUGCCCCCAGUACUUACAGCCUCCGUAGUCUCACUGGUGCCAGAACUGCUCACCGGCUUAGGCUGAUCCUUGCUGCAAGAGGCCUCACUGCAGCCCUCAUCCUGAAACAGAAAACAAAAGCCAGGAGCUUAGAGUAAAAGUCUCAAG